GUAUGAUAUUUAUUAUAGAUGGAAAAAUUACUUGGUAGAGAAACUGAAGGAAUAGGUUGUCCAGAAACUCUGGAAAAUGGAGUUUUCAUGGCUCAUCUGAUGGCUUUUUUUUUUUUUUUGGUUUGUUAUGUGCAGGAGUACGUUCAAUUAUUGACUCACAAAAGACUAUCCAUAUGGUGCAAAUGAUUGAAGAUGCAGUCACUCUGAAACCAGUUCAUGGAAUAACAAACUUUGUUCCCAUUUUAAACAACAGGAGAAAUGGGACAAAAAAAAAAGCCAUGAAAAGAAGCAGGGAGGGGAAAAAUGGAUCUUCAUCAGAACAUAAGGAGAAGAUGAGAAGAAGCACAAGUAGAAGAAGAGAAAAGUAUGGAUCUUCAGCCUAAUCAGAUGAAGGGAAAGAACACAUCUUUGGUUUGAUUCAAUGCUAAACAUUAAAUUACCUCUCGUGCACUUGAAGUGUGAAGAUGCUCAUGGGUUAUUUGCAUUAAUAUCAUCAAGAAAUUUUGUCAGAUCUCAUUGCUUUUGGUUUCUCCUGAGGUGUUUGCUUUCGGCCUUUCACGGGAACGAAAGGAGAAUCUGAAUGAAGCUGGAGCUCUCUGAUGCUAUUAGUCAUUGAAACUCUAGAAUCAUUUUGCUUGUGGCCAAUUAGAAAUACUUUUUUCUUUUCUUUGUCAAUUUGUUCAAUUGGCACUGGUAUAGGUUUAGUCUCACUAAGUAGAUUUUCUCUUUAUACUGCA